UACAGGGGGGGCAAGCGUUGUUCGGAAUUACUGGGCGUAAAGCGCGUGUAGGCGGCUCGGAAAGUCGGGUGUGAAAGCCCUGGGCUCAACCCAGGAAGUGCAUUCGAAACUCCCGAGCUCGAGUCCUGGAGAGGAUGGUGGAAUUCUCGGUGUAGAGGUGAAAUUCGUAGAUAUCGAGAGGAACACCGGUGGCGAAGGCGACCAUCUGGACAGUGACUGACGCUGAGACGCGAAAGCGUGGGGAGCAAACAGG
rnacentral:rRNA from 1 species